rnacentral:rRNA from 1 species
AUUAAACGCUGGUGGCAUGCCUUACACAUGCAAGUCGAACGGCAGCACGGGGCAACCUGGUGGCGAGUGGCGAACGGGUGAGUAAAGCAUCGGAACGUGCCCUGGAGUGGGGGAUAACGUAGCGAAAGUUACGCUAAUACCGCAUAUUCUGUGAGCAGGAAAGCAGGGGAUCGCAAGACCUUGCGCUCUGGGAGCGGCCGAUGUCGGAUUAGCUAGUUGGUGGGGUAAAGGCCUACCAAGGCGACGAUCCGUAGCGGGUCUGAGAGGAUGAUCCGCCACACUGGGACUGAGACACGGCCCAGACUCCUACGGGAGGCAGCAGUGAGGAAUAUUGGACAAUGGAUGGAAAUCUGAUCCAGCCAUCCCGCGUGAAGGAAGAAGGCCUUAUGGGUUGUAAACUUCUUUUCUGUUUGAAGAAUAAGCUUGUCGAGACAAGUGAUGCCGGUAGGACAGGAAUAAGCAUCGGCUAACUCCGUG